ACUAGAAUGAACGGUUAAAUGAGGACUAAACUGUCUCUUAUACUAAACCAAUAAAACUGAUCUUUCAGUCCAAAAGCUGAAAUAAAAACAUAAGACGAGAAGACCCUGUGGAGCUUUUAAACCAACCUACAAACCCCAUGUAUCCUAAGGUUUUUAGUUGGGGCGACUUUGGAGCACAAAAACCCUCCAACCACGGAACCUUAUUUAUAGACACACACGUCAAUAAACCACAUCCCGACCCAGUAAUUCAACCAAAUUAUCUGAUCUAUGAACCAAGUUACCCCAGGGAUAACAGCGCUAUCNUCUUCUAGAGUUCCUAUCGACAAGAAGGUUUACGACCUCGAUGUUGGAUCAGGACACCCCUAUAGUGCAACCGCUAUAAAAG
rnacentral:rRNA from 1 species